GUGGGGAAUAUUGCACAAUGGGGGAAACCCUGAUGCAGCGACGCCGCGUGAGUGAAGAAGUAUUUCGGUAUGUAAAGCUCUAUCAGCAGGGAAGAAAAUGACGGUACCUGACUAAGAAGCCCCGGCUAACUACGUGCCAGCAGCCGCGGUAAUACGUAGGGGGCAAGCGUUAUCCGGAUUUACUGGGUGUAAAGGGAGCGUAGACGGUUGUGCAAGUCAGAAGUGAAAGCCCGGGGCUCAACUCCGGGACUGCUUUUGAAACUGUGUAACUGGAGUGCUGGAGAGGUAAGUGGAAUUCCUAGUGUAGCGGUGAAAUGCGUAGAUAUUAGGAGGAACACCAGUGGCGAAGGCGGCUUACUGGACAGUAACUGACGUUGAGGCUCGAAAGCGUGGGGAGCAAACAGG
rnacentral:rRNA from 1 species